rnacentral:lncRNA from 1 species
CCAGCAGACACCCACAGCGUCCUGCCCUUCCAGCACCAUCCACAGUUCUUUGGAAGCUGCUCAAGGCAGCCCUGGGAAGUGCAGACAGGGGUGCCCUUGACCUCCUGGGAAAACAGCCCAAGCCCCCCCGUGGGCUCACAGGUACACGUUGAGGGUCUGCAGGAUCACCUGGCGGCACAGGGGGCAGUUGCGCUGGUAGAUGUCCUGCUGCAGGAGCACCUCUGUGCACUCCUGGCACAGGCACAGGUGCCUGCAGGGCAGCAGCAGGACUGUCUUGGUCUGGUCCUGGCAGAUGACACAUUUCUUACGCUCCUCUUGCUCUUUCAGCAGCACCCAGGGGUCGUUGUCAGGGGCUCCCUCAGCGUUCCCGGCUGCGGCGUUCAGCCGCUGCUUCCUCGGGGCUUUCCACCAGGACGUGCCCGGCUCCUCCCUGGAUGUCUGGGGACGCUGCCCUGCCCCAGCACGGCUCAGAGCAGGUCGUGGCUGCGGCCCCUGCUCUGCAUCCAGCUGUUCCUCCAGCUCAGCCAGCAGCUGGCCCAGGGUCACCCUGUCAGCGGCCGGGGCUCUGGGGGCACCCACGGCGCGUCGCUGGUCGCUGCCCUGGUUCACCAUCCUGCCUCCCUGGCUCCAGUUGGUCACCUGCUGGAUCCAGUCCACCAGCCUGCGCCAGGGCUGGGAGGUCACGGCCACUCCCAGGCUCAGCACGGCCACCUGGUAGAGCCGCCAGACGUCCCUCUGCAGGCGGCGCAGGGAGGGCAGCGUGUGCAAGUAGCCCAGCAGGUAUCCCGUCAGCGUCCACAGCAGCCCGGGGUUGAAGGCGAAGGCGCUGACCACCACGAUGAGCAGGAGCAAGCCCAGGCCGUAGACGUUGACGAAGAAGACGCUGAUGAAGAGCUCGGUGGCCGAGCAGAGCAGCUCGAAGGCCAUCUGGCAGGGCGACCACAGCAGGAUGGACACGGCGAUGGCGCCGCUGGACACGUGCGCCAGGAAGGCGGCCAGCAGCUCGGCCACCCUAACGACGGGCCCGGCCAGCGAGUCCCAGAGGGCGGCGAGCAGCGUGAAGAGGUUCUGCGUGCCGAUGAGACACACGUUCACCAGGCUGUUGACCAGGUACAUCAGCAGGCUGGUGCCGAU